CUACCUUCAGGUUGGGGACAACCACUGGAAACGGUGGCUAAUACCGAAUGUGCCGAGAGGUGAAAGGCUUGCUGCCUGAAGAAGAGCUUGCGUCUGAUUAGCUAGUUGGUAGUGUAAGAGACUACCAAGGCGACGAUCAGUAGCUGGUCUGAGAGGAUGAUCAGCCACACUGGGACUGAGACACGGCCCAGACUCCUACGGGAGGCAGCAGUGGGGAAUUUUCCGCAAUGGGCGAAAGCCUGACGGAGCAAUACCGCGUGAGGGAGGAAGGCUCUUGGGUUGUAAACCUCUUUUCUCAGGGAAGAACAGAAUGACGGUACCUGAGGAAUAAGCAUCGGCUAACUCCGUGCCAGCAGCCGCGGUAAUACGGAGGAUGCAAGCGUUAUCCGGAAUGAUUGGGCGUAAAGGGUCCGCAGGUGGCAUUGUAAGUCUGCUGUUAAAGAGUUUGGCUCAACCAAAUAAGAGCAGUGGAAACUACAAAGCUAGAGUGUGGUCGGGGCAGAGGGAACUCCUGGUGUAGCGGUGAAAUGCGUAGAUAUCAGGAAGAACACCAGUGGCGAAGGCGCUCUGCUAGGCCGAGACUGACACUGAGGGACGAAAGCUAGGGGAGCGAAUGGGAUUAGAUACCCCAGUAGUCC
rnacentral:rRNA from 1 species